AGUGCACACCCUUCACAACGGAUCGUUCGGCACGUACCUGCCGAUGAAAGGAAAAUAUC
rfam:Gardnerella vaginalis ATCC 14019, complete genome.